rnacentral:rRNA from 1 species
AUUGAACGCUGGCGGCAUGCCUUACACAUGCAAGUCGAACGGCAGCGCGGGAGCAAUCCUGGCGGCGAGUGGCGAACGGGUGAGUAAUACAUCGGAACGUGCCCAAUCGUGGGGGAUAACGCAGCGAAAGCUGUGCUAAUGCCGCAUACGAUCUACGGAUGAAAGCAGGGGAUCGCAAGACCUUGCGCGAAUGGAGCGGCCGAUGGCAGAUUAGGUAGUUGGUGAGGUAAAGGCUCACCAAGCCUUCGAUCUGUAGCUGGUCUGAGAGGACGACCAGCCACACUGGGACUGAGACACGGCCCAGACUCCUACGGGAGGCAGCAGUGGGGAAUUUUGGACAAUGGGCGCAAGCCUGAUCCAGCCAUGCCGCGUGCAGGAUGAAGGCCUUCGGGUUGUAAACUGCUUUUGUACGGAACGAAACGGCUCUUUCUAAUAAAGAGGGCUAAUGACGGUACCGUAAGAAUAAGCACCGGCUAACUACGUGC